AGAAAUUAAAUUAAAAAUUUGACCCCAAAACCGUGUAGGGAAGGGAACUGGAUGCUCGCCGGAUCUAUUUUACAGUUUUUCGCCGUCCCCGAUUUCCUGAUCUGUUACCGCCAAACUAAAACACAAAUACCCAAAUCUCCCGCCCUUCAACAAACUUUCAAAAAUUCUUCAUUAAUUUACCACUUUUCAUCCUCUUUUCCCCCUUUUCUCUUCGAAUUUUCCUCCUUUGAGUUCCGAAUUUUGCUUCGUUUCUUCUACUUUCGUCUCGUUUUCUUGCAUGGCGGCUCCCUCGCCCUCCGUUAGCAACAACAGCUCCGACACCGCCACCACUACUACCACCACCGCUAGCGCUGUCACGGCUAACGUUGCGGUUUCCUCCAACCACUUGGCGAACCGUACUGGAACGCCGCCGAAGACCCUUCGCGGCCUCAACAAGCCCAAAUGUAGGGUUUGUGGCAAUGUUGCUCGUUCCAGGUGUCCUUAUGAAUCAUGCAAGAGCUGCUGUGCGAGAAAUCAAAACCCAUGCCAUAUUCACGUGUUAAAAGCAAAUGCAACUUUUCCGGACAAAACACCUUCUUCAAGCUCUCCUCUAUUUGACAAGCAAUCAGCAGAUCCAUCAUCUGGGAGUUCGCUUAGAGUAAAUUCACUUCGAUAUCUUUCAAGCAACUUUUCUCAAUUCAGCAAUGUGCAAAUCCCACUCCGUUCACGGAAGCCAUUGACUAGAAAGGAUGCCGCUGCAAUCAAUGAAUGGAGGUUUUCUAAGUUAAGGGAAUUUCGGGAGGGGCAUAUUGAAGCAGAAAAUGAAGCUUUUGAUCGAUACAUGCAGAAUGUUAAUCUAUUGGAGGAGAUAUUUUCCAUGAAAUCUAUGAUUGAUGAGUCUGCCAAGGAUGGGCCCUCUAUAAACUCCGCUACAGAAUCCAACCCUGAGGAAAUGAUACCUGGAUUGAUGUUGAAGUUAGGAUCAAAUCCAGUUACAUCAGAAAACUCUAGAAAGAGGAUACGAAAAAUUGUUGAAGAUGGACUAAGGAAACUUCAAAAAGUCGAGGCUUCUGAUAGCAUCAAUAAGGUCACCGACCGAGCUGAACCUGUUAAGGUCGCUGACCAAACGAAUGCUAAUGAUGGGUGCAAAACGGAAAAAGGUUGGCAUGCCAAAAAAGCUCAAGCUUUAGGUAAUCUCAUUGACAAGCUAAACAAAGCCAGGAAUGAGGAGGAUUUAAAGUCUUGCUUGGCUGUGAAACAUCAGCUUUUCCACAAGGACGUAACAUCCAGUCAAACAGAAUCUGAGGAGAUUGGCACGUCCAAGGAGCAAGUUACAAAGAAAGAUUUAGACUCGAGGAGAGAAUUGGGUUAUUCAUUGCCAAAGUUGACUAAUAAAACUAAUAUUGAUCAAGAAACUCUGAACCGAAUUGAGGCUCACUUUUCUUCUCUCAAGCAGAUAGACAAUCUAUGAUUUGAUGAAGAUUUUGUUUUAUUUAUCGACUGUAGGUUAAAGGCCCCAAACAUGAUGCUGUUAUGCCCGUAUGUAAUUUAUUCUCUCAACGGCCGUUGAUGAUUAUAUGGUCUCAACCCAAGGACAAGGACAAGGACAGCUUUCAUCAUAGUGGCUAUCAAAGUUUUGUAAGUUAUUUUUCCUUGGAACAAAAAAGCUGUCAAAAUGCUUUCAGUUUCAAUGGCUCUACUCAGCUCAAACCUUUUCAGAAGCCAUUAGGCAUUUUUAUCAAACCCAUUAUCAUGGCAUUAUAUGAUUCUAUAUUUCUGAAGAAAAAUAUUAUUGUUCAUAAUGAAUAAGUCAAGGAAAUGGGACAGUCACAAUACAGGUUACAUGAAUUA